UUUUAAAUAUGUAUGGGAUAACUAGCAUAAAGCAUUUGGUUUAUGUCAUAGUUUUGCUACUUUUUUCACAAUUUUAUUUGUCUUUUGUCUUUUACUUUGAGUUAUUUAUGACAUAUAGAAGUUCUCUAUUGACACCCUUUCCCAUUACUGAUUUCACCAACCAUAUUUAUUGUUAAAAAUAAAUCCUUUUCAUGGACUUCAUAUUAUUGAU
rnacentral:lncRNA from 1 species